rnacentral:rRNA from 1 species
GGCGGACGGGUGAGUAACAUUUAGGAAUCUGCCUAGUAGUGGGGGAUAGCUCGGGGAAACUCGAAUUAAUACCGCAUACGACCUACGGGUGAAAGGGGGCGCAAGCUCUUGCUAUUAGAUGAGCCUAAAUCAGAUUAGCUAGUUGGUGGGGUAAAGGCCCACCAAGGCGACGAUCUGUAACUGGUCUGAGAGGAUGAUCAGUCACACCGGAACUGAGACACGGUCCGGACUCCUACGGGAGGCAGCAGUGGGGAAUAUUGGACAAUGGGGGCAACCCUGAUCCAGCCAUGCCGCGUGUGUGAAGAAGGCCUUUUGGUUGUAAAGCACUUUAAGCAGGGAGGAGAGGCUAAUGGUUAAUACCCAUUAGAUUAGACGUUACCUGCAGAAUAAGCACCGGCUAACUCUGUGCCAGCAGCCGCGGUAAUACAGAGGGUGCGAGCGUUAAUCGGAAUUACUGGGCGUAAAGCGAGUGUAGGUGGCUCAUUAAGUCACAUGUGAAAUCCCCGGGCUUAACCUGGGAACUGCAUGUGAUACUGGUGGUGCUAGAAUAUGUGAGAGGGA